rnacentral:rRNA from 1 species
AUGCGCGCUGGCGGCGUGCCUCAUACAUGCACGUCGAGCGAACGGACGAGAAGCUUGCUUCUCUGAUGUUAGCGGCGGACGGGUGAGUAACACGUGGAUAACCUACCUAUAAGACUGGGAUAACUUCGGGAAACCGUAGCUAAUACCGGAUAAUAUUUUGAACCGCAUGGUUCAAAAGUGAAAGACGGUCUUGCUGUCACUUAUAGAUGGAUCCGCGCUGCAUUAGCUAGUUGGUAAGGUAACGGCUUACCAAGGCAACGAUGCAUAGCCGACCUGAGAGGGUGAUCGGCCACACUGGAACUGAGACACGGUCCAGACUCCUACGGGAGGCAGCAGUAGGGAAUCUUCCGCAAUGGGCGAAAGCCUGACGGAGCAACGCCGCGUGAGUGAUGAAGGUCCUCGGAUCGUAAAACUCUGUUAUUAGGGAAGAACAUAUGUGUAAGUAACUGUGCACAUCUUGACGGUACCUAAUCAGAAAGCCACGGCUAACUACGUG